AGUGAACGCUGGCGGUAGGCCUAACACAUGCAAGUCGAACGGCAGCACAGUAAGAGCUUGCUCUUACGGGUGGCGAGUGGCGGACGGGUGAGGAAUACAUCGGAAUCUACUUUUUCGUGGGGGAUAACGUAGGGAAACUUACGCUAAUACCGCAUACGACCUACGGGUGAAAGCAGGGGAUCUUCGGACCUUGCGCGAUUGAAUGAGCCGAUGUCGGAUUAGCUAGUUGGCGGGGUAAAGGCCCACCAAGGCGACGAUCCGUAGCUGGUCUGAGAGGAUGAUCAGCCACACUGGAACUGAGACACGGUCCAGACUCCUACGGGAGGCAGCAGUGGGGAAUAUUGGAAAAUGGGCGCAAGCCUGAUCCAGCCAUACCGCGUGGGUGAAGAAGGCCUUCGGGUUGUAAAGCCCUUUUGUUGGGAAAGAAAAGCAGCAGGUUAAUAACCCGCUGUUCUGACGGUACCCAAAGAAUAAGCACCGGCUAACUUCGUG
rnacentral:rRNA from 1 species